rnacentral:rRNA from 1 species
UACGUAGGUGGCAAGCGUUAUCCGGAAUUAUUGGGCGUAAAGAGCGCGCAGGUGGUUGAUUAAGUCUGAUGUGAAAGCCCACGGCUUAACCGUGGAGGGUCAUUGGAAACUGGUCGACUUGAGUGCAGAAGAGGGAAGUGGAAUUCCAUGUGUAGCGGUGAAAUGCGUAGAGAUAUGGAGGAACACCAGUGGCGAAGGCGGCUUCCUGGUCUGUAACCGAUACUGAGGCGCGAAAGCGUGGGGAGCAAACAGGAUUAGAUACCCU